rnacentral:lncRNA from 1 species
UCCACUGCGCGAUAGGCCACGUGUUGUCCUCUCAUUCGCUAAACUACUCCGACAACACCCAUAUAUCAUCGGCGCUCUUAUCUUAAACAUGUGCCUAGGCGGAUGAUUUAUGCGUCACAGCGGGAGAUCGAGAUGACAUCUCGCAGCAUGCAACCUUACUUCUAAACUCGUGCUCCAUUCUAAACGCCAUCCCUCCUAGAACCUUAAUGCAAUGACAAUAGAAUUCAUUUUACACUG